CCCACCGGCCGGGUGUGAGGUCUGAGACGUGUGUGCAGGAGGGAUGACAAGACGCUGGUGCCGUUUUUCAUGACGCUGUUGAGUAGGAUCCUGUACCGUCAGUGGGAUGCAAAGCUGUUUGCAGCACGGACGUGCGUACUGGGUGUUUCGUCAAUCCUUACUUUAGUUCAAGAUUUCAAGCAAGAAGAGACCAUCACACUGGCAGGCUUCUAGGUGCUGGGACACAGCAGUGAUCAAGACAGACAAAAGCAUCAACUCAAAGAGCCUAUAAGGUAAAAGUAACCCUUUAUGCAUCAGAAAGGUAACAAGCAGAAUGGAGAAGAAUCAAAUCUGCAACGAGGAUGGGAGGGAUACUACAGAUGGCCGUGAACGUGGUCAGAAUCAGUCUGCCUGUGAAGGUGACUUUUGGCAAAUUUGAAGGAGGUAAGAGGGGAAGCCAUGGGGAUGUCUAGGGGGAAAAUUCCAGGAGGAGGGGACCACAAGGGUGUAGACCCUGAGGAUGAACAUACAAGGUUAACUGGAAGAGCAGGAAGGACACUGGAAUGGAGUGAGCCAGGGAGAGAGGGUGGGGCGGGGGGAGGAAGAGACCAGCCAGUGCACUGUCUAUAGGUCAGGGAAGAAUGGUGGGGUUUUUUGUUUCUUUUCCGGUAUAGUUUAUUACAGUAUAUCGAGUAGUUUUCUGUGCUGUACAGUAGGACCUCGUCGUGUGUGCAUCCUAUAUAAACUAGUUUGCAUCUGCUAAUCCCACACUCCCAAUUCUUGCCUCCCUCACCCCGCUCCCUCUAGGCUGAUCUCUAUGUCUGUGAGUCUGUUUCUGUUUUGUACAUAAGUUCAUUUGUAUCUUUUUAUUUUUGAUUCCACAUAUAAGCGAUAUCAUAUGGUAUUUGUCUUUCUCUGACUUACUUCACUCAGUAUGAUCAUCUCUGGGUCCACCCAUGUUGCUGCCAAUGGCAUGGUUUCAUUCUUUUUCAUGGCUGAGUAAUAUUCCACUGUGUGUAUAGGUAGAUGGGCACUUAAGUUGCUUCCACGUUUCAGCUGUUGUAAACAGUCUGUAACGGGGUCUCCAGAAGGACUCCCUGGGAACGUGGCAUGGGGUAAAAGUCAAGUCAGCUCUCAGCCAGGCACAGCCACACAGCUGGGGGCACUCGGGCGAGUCCACGAUUUAAAACUAAAGCUGUGGAAGGUAGUUUUCAGGGCGGUGGGAGGGUCCUCUGUGGGUCCGGCUGUGCUACCCUCUCUACUUGGGACUCACAGGGGAUUCCGUUUGGAUGUCUGUCCUCACCUGUGGUUCAGUUGUACAGGUUUUCCUUUAGAAACUGUGCCUGCACAUUCCAGAUGUGGUGACGGGCAUGCUGCUUCUCAGGCACCUGUGGAAUGCGGACACUGGUCUGCCCCCCUGCCCUUCCCACAGGGCUGCCCCACUUGUCACGACCAUCAGCUGUACCCCAGUGGCCGUGCUGAGCGUGGGGAGAGUGCUUACGGCUGGUGGGCAGCACUCUGGUUUACAUCACCCACCACCUACCUCUGCUGGACGCCUGCCCGGAUGGUGGGAACACAUUGCUAGCGGUGCAAUUCCAUACUUUAAUGCUUUCUUUUUUUCAUUUUAUCUAAGGGUCUUUUUAAUAGGCAAUGAGGCCAAAACAGAUGAUGAAAGAUAAGGGGUGUGUUUUUACCCAUUUUUCGUGUACAGCAGUAUCACCAGGAGCAGGGCCACAGGUUGUUACAGAGUGCUGAGUAGAGUUCCCUGUGCUAUAUACAUAGCACACUGGGGAGAAGGAGAACAAUUUAUGCAGGAAAUUGGAGUUCCCUGAAGAUCUGGGUAACCCCAUGGAAGUGUACCCCAUUUGUGCUGGGGUGAGACAAAGUAUGUGGGCCUCACUGCUGCAGCCUGACCCGUUGUGGAGCACAGGCUCUGGACGUGCAGGCUCAGCGGCCAUGGCUCACGGGCCCAGCUGCUCCACGGCAUGUGGGAUCUUCCCGGACCGGGGCACGAACCCACGUCUCCUGCAUCGGCAGGCGGACU